UGUAAAUUUCUUCUACAAGGUACAUUCAAAUUUGGUAAUUCUUGUAGAUUUGAUCAUCAAUUAGGGGGACACAACAAUAAUCAAAAUGUAGCUCGGGCAAUAACAAUGGAUCCAAAUGCCUUAAUACAAACCUUAUUGAAUAACUUUUAUACUGUUAUUUAUAAUUAAAAGUUAAUAAAAUUAGUUUUAUAAGAA